UACGGGGGGGGCAAGCGUUUGUUCGGAAUUACUGGGCGUAAAGGGCCAGUAGGCGGCCAACUAAGUCGGAUGUGAAAUCCCCAGGCUUAACCUGGGAACUGCAUCCGAUACUGGAUGGCUUGAAUUCGGGAGAGGGAUGCAGAAUUCCAGGUGUAGCGGUGAAAUGCGUAGAUAUCUGGAGGAAUACCGGUGGCGAAGGCGGCAUCCUGGACCGACAUUGACGCUGAACGGCGAAAGCUAGGGGAGCAAACGGG
rnacentral:rRNA from 1 species